CGUUGAAGAAGCAAGGAAGGCUUGUUAUUUGUCAUGAGCGAGCUGUCGUUUUCAAAAAACCGUUAGGGGACGAAGUUUGUGCUGCCAUUUAUUGUCAAGGCGUUCUGUGCUCAGAAAAAACAAUCGCCUCCGUUGGCGACGCUGCAGCUGUACUGGAUGAUGUCAUGGCAAUGUGUGUUUGCAAGGGAGCAAUGUCGGACAACGAAUUCAGGCAAAUGUUGCCGGUUUUGACGGUGAAGCAGCAACAUACACCAACGGACUCUACGUAUUCAGCGCCAAGUGCUCCGGGAAGGUCUUGUCCGAUGGACUUAUUUGCCCAGAGUGCAAGUCGCAUCGAAAGCUGUUGUUGACAAGAAAGUCCUGCCAGAAAGCUCAUGUGCCUAAGAAAGGAGCCCUUGCCCAGCGCCUGAAGCUUCAAAGGCAAAAACCAAGCGUUUGAAGAAUAGCGCCACUGCAUUGAAAAAUCAACUGAAA